GCGGAGCUUGAUUCACCUUCACCUGCGCUGGGCACCCGCUGACCCCAGGUCUCCGCCCAGAGAGCAGUGAGAUAUGAACGGACGGGUGGAUUAUUUAGUCUCGGAGGAAGAGAUCAACCUGACGAGAGGACCCUCUGGGCUGGGCUUCAACAUCGUCGGUGGGACAGAUCAACAGUAUGUCUCCAACGACAGUGGCAUCUACGUCAGCCGCAUCAAAGAGGAUGGGGCUGCGGCCCAGGAUGGGCGGCUUCUGGAGGGUGAUAAGAUCCUCUCGGUAAAUGGUCAAGACCUGAAGAACCUGCUGCACCAAGAUGCUGUAGACCUCUUUCGUAAUGCAGGAUGUGCUGUGUCCCUGAGAGUACGGCACAGAUUACCAGUGCAGAAUGGACCAUCGAGGCGAAGGAGAGCCAAGUGGGGUUCCUGUAGCUAUGGUGCUGCUACCAGUGUUUGCCCUCACCAUGGUAGCAGUUUGGGCCUUCGUGAGAUACCGAAAGCAGCUUUGAAAUGCUUGCUGUCUUCCAGUGUGUCCAAUGAACUA